GGGCCCGCACAAGCGGCGGAGCAUGCGGAUUAAUUCGAUGCAACGCGAAGAACCUUACCGAGGCUUGACAUGUGCCGGAAAAGUGCAGAGAUGUGCUCCCCGCAAGGUCGGUACACAGGUGGUGCAUGGUUGUCGUCAGCUCGUGUCGUGAGAUGUUGGGUUAAGUCCCGCAACGAGCGCAACCCUCGUUCUAUGUUGCCAGCACGUGAUGGUGGGGACUCAUAGGAGACUGCCGGGGUCAACUCGGAGGAAGGUGGGGAUGACGUCAAAUCAUCAUGCCCCUUAUGUCUUGGGCUUCACGCAUGCUACAAUGGCCAGUACAAAGGGCUGCGAUACCGCAAGGUGGAGCGAAUCCCAAAAAACUGGUCUCAGUUCGGAUUGGGGUCUGCAACUCGACCCCAUGAAGUCGGAGUCGCUAGUAAUCGCAGAUCAGCAACGCUGCGGUGAAUACGUUCCCGGGCCUUGUACACACCGCCCGUCAAGUCACGAAAGUCGGUAACACCCGAAGCCGGUGGCCCAACUCGUAAGAGGGGGAGCCGUCGAAGGUGGGACUGGCGAUUGGGACU
rnacentral:rRNA from 1 species